rnacentral:rRNA from 1 species
UACGUAGGGUGCGAGGCGUUGUCCGGAAUUACUGGGCGUAAAGAGCUCGUAGGCGGUCUGUUGCGUCCGCUGUGAAAACUCGGGGCUUAACCCCGAGCCUGCAGUGGAUACGGGCAGACUAGAGGUAGGUAGGGGAGAAUGGAAUUCCCGGUGUAGCGGUGAAAUGCGCAGAUAUCGGGAGGAACACCGGUGGCGAAGGCGGUUCUCUGGGACGGUACUGACGCUGAGACGCGAAAGCGUGGGGAGCGAACAGG